rnacentral:lncRNA from 1 species
AAAGGAGUGUAUGUGUAUAACCUGAAACUGUUUGAAGUGAUAAAACUUUAGGUAACUACUCCAUAAUGGAAAGGAGGUAAAACUAGAUGUCUAUUUAGAUAAGACAGACUGCACAAAGAGUGUGUGUAAAGAUAAUUUUGAGCCUGCUACUUUCAAACUGUAUAAAAGGCUAUGUUAUUUCUUGGCUCGGGGGAGUGCUCUGGGGGAGAACCCCUGCCCCUUUUGCAUCUCCCCGGCCGUAAUAAAAGUGCUUUUCAGAUUGGCAGAGGUUUCUUUGAAUCAGUAUUCCAAGCAGAACGGAAGAGAAGGUUGUUGUGGAGAGACAACAACGGGUUGGGAGGGGGUUUGGCCGAGGGAAUUCGAUUUUUUGGGGUUCUCCAAGCAUGCCACCCCCUUUUCCCCAGGGAGGCUUCGAGUACAAGAGGGCCAUCGUGGACUGCAUCAUCGGCAUCCUGGAGGAGAACCCCGAGAGCAAGGAGGCCGGGCUGGCCCACCUGUGCGAGUUCAUCGAGGACUGCGAGCACACCGUGCUGGCCACCAAGAUCCUGCACCUGCUGGGCAAGGAGGGGCCGCGCACGCCGGCCCCCUCCAAGUACAUCCGCUUCAUCUUCAACAGGGUGGUGCUGGAGAACGAGGCCGUCAGGGCCGCCGCCGUCAGCGCCCUGGCAAAGUUUGGGGCCCAGAAUGAGAAUCUGCUUCCCAGCAUCCUGGUGCUGCUGCAGAGGUGAGUUUUGGGGGGGCUGUGGGAGUGUGUGGGGGUCUGUGCAGAGCUGGGGGGGCACAACGGGAGCGGCGAGGCCGGAAUUUGCGCCGGGGUCGUCGAUCCCGGCGGGGGAAUUGGGAGGUGUCGGUUUUGCGCCUUCCCCGCGAGGCCGGAGGGAGCAGGAACUGCUGGGAACAGGCACGGAAAAGGUGGGAUGGGUUGGGGAAGUGUGGGAGUGAGCUGGUCUGGAACGUUCCUCGGUGGGUAACAAAUCAUGGAAUCACAGAAUGGUUUGAUUGGAAGGGACCUUAAAGGUCAUCCGGGUCCACCCACUAUCCCAGGUUGCUCCAACCCAGCCUUGGACACUUCCAGGGAUCCAGGGGCAGCCACAGCUUCU